rnacentral:lncRNA from 1 species
AAAAGACAAGAACUUUGCCCUUGAUAGUAUUUCACAAUUCAUUGCACGAUUUCUUCUCUACUCCCACUCCCUAAACAACAUGAAAAUAAUGGAAAGAUGAAGAGGAGGAGCAAAUUGAAGUAAAUAAAUCUCUCUAAAACAACCUUCAUCCCCAGUUCAGCCUCAGAAACCAAAAAUCUUUUCCUUUUCCUUCUUAGUGUUUCCAUCGUGUGGCCUACAGGACCCUUUAUUGAAUAUGAACAUUUUCCAGCACUUUGACACCAAGAACAUUUGGGUUCUUUCAGAAGCCCAGCUUUAAUUAAGACACAGUUUACAGGACCUCAUUCGCACUCCAAUGACAAUGAAAGGAAGGGGGUGUUGGGCAGAGAAGCAAAGAGCUCCGGUUCUCACCAUCACAUGGUAGCGGGUGUAAGUUUGUUCCCAACAUACCAGACAGAGAGCAACUCUCACCAGAGAAGAUCCCAAUGUGUUUUAUGCUAGAUCUGACUUUAAUUAAGUGUAGACAAUGCUCCCAUCAGUGCUGGAACUGGCCCCGGUAACUUGCUUUAGCUGAUGGAAUGUUACCAAACACAACAUGAUCAAAGGCUUGAGAGAUGAUUUCCCUCCUGUGCUUCCGCAAUUACCAUGAAAAGAACAUGGCCUGGUGGUCCCUGAUCCCCAAAGAAUGACGGACACCUGGAAAAAGCUUGGAGUAACAGAUUCAUGAGCAAGAAUAAAUAAUUAUUGUUUUAAU